UACGUAGGGGGCUAGCGUUGUCCGGAAUUAUUGGGCGUAAAGAGCUUGUAGGCGGUUUGUCGCGUCUGCCGUGAAAAUUCGAGGCUCAACCUCGAACUUGCAGUGGGUACGGGCAGACUAGAGUGUGGUAGGGGAGACUGGAAUUCCUGGUGUAGCGGUGAAAUGCGCAGAUAUCAGGAGGAACACCGAUGGCGAAGGCAGGUCUCUGGGCCACUACUGACGCUGAGAAGCGAAAGCGUGGGGAGCGAACAGG
rnacentral:rRNA from 1 species